UACGUAGGUCCCGAGCGUUGUCCAGAUUUAUUGGGCGUAAAGCGAGCGCAGGUGGUUUAUUAAGUCUGGUGUAAAAGGCAGUGGCUCAACCAUUGUAUGCAUUGGAAACUGGUAGACUUGAGUGCAGGAGAGGAGAGUGGAAUUCCAUGUGUAGCGGUGAAAUGCGUAGAUAUUAGGAGGAACACCAGUGGCGAAGGCGGUCUGCUGGACAGCAACUGACGCUGAGGCGCGAAAGCGUGGGGAGCAAACAGG
rnacentral:rRNA from 1 species